UUUUUUUUUUUUUUUUUUAAAAAAAAAGUCACUCACUGGAAUUCAAUUUAUUACACAUCGCUCCUCAUGAUGAGGGCAUAUAUGGAGUACAAAAUCCUCAACAUAAGUUCAACAAUUGGCUAAGAAAAUUCAAUUAACUUAUUCAAUGGCUUGAUUUGAUUGUGUUGCCAAUAUCAAUCACAAAUCGGUACCUAACAUCAGCUUUCAGCAUGCGUUCAAUAGCAGUGUUCACAUAGUCAAUUGGGAUAACUUCAAUGUCCGAUGUUAUGCCGUGUUUGGCUGCGAAAUCAACCAUUUCUUGUGUCUCUUUCAUUCCCCCAAUGCAACUACCACCCACCAUCUUCCUCCCCAUUAGCAAAGGAAAGGCUGGUAGCUCAAGUGGCUUCUCUGGGGCACCAACCAAAAUCAACUUUCCAUGCGACUUCAAUAAACCAAGCAAAGGCAAAAGAGGGUGCAUUGCAGACACUGUGUCAAUUAUACCAUCCAUUGUGCCCAUUGCAACCUGCAUUUGAUCUUGGUCACGACUGACCAAAAAUGAAUCUGCACCAAGACGCUCAAUAGCCUCCUGCUGCUUGUUAGGUGAGGUGCUGAUCACAGUCACCUUAGCUCCCAUAGCCUUGGCAAAUUUCACCGCCAUAUGACCAAGCCCACCGAGGCCAACUACGCCUACAUGCAAGCCAGGUUUGUCGAGUCCAUAAUAUUUCAAGGGGCUGUACACUGUGAUCCCAGCACAAAGGAGAGGAGC
rnacentral:misc_RNA from 1 species